UACGGAGGGUGCGAGCGUUGUCCGGAAUCACUGGGCGUAAAGGGCGCGUAGGCGGCUCAUGAAGGCUGUGGUGAAAGUCCGGGGCUCAACCUCGGAUCGGCCGUGGCGACUCGUGGGCUGGAGCACUGUAGAGGCGGGUGGAAUUCCGGGUGUAGCGGUGGAAUGCGUAGAGAUCCGGAAGAACACCAGUGGCGAAGGCGGCCCGCUGGGCAGUGGCCGACGCUGAAGCGCGACAGCGUGGGGAGCAAACAGG
rnacentral:rRNA from 1 species